AACGAACGCUGGCGGCAGGCUUAACACAUGCAAGUCGAACGCCCCGCAAGGGGAGUGGCAGACGGGUGAGUAACGCGUGGGAAUCUACCGUACCCUACGGAACAACAGUUGGAAACGACUGCUAAUACCGUAUACGCCCUUAGGGGGAAGGAUUUAUCGGGGUAUGAUGAGCCCGCGUUGGAUUAGCUAGUUGGUGGGGUAAAGGCCUACCAAGGCGACGAUCCAUAGCUGGUCUGAGAGGAUGAUCAGCCACAUUGGGACUGAGACACGGCCCAAACUCCUACGGGAGGCAGCAGUGGGGAAUAUUGGACAAUGGGCGCAAGCCUGAUCCAGCCAUGCCGCGUGAGUGAUGAAGGCCUUAGGGUUGUAAAGCUCUUUCACCGAUGAAGAUAAUGACGGUAGUCGGAGAAGAAGCCCCGGCUAACUUCGUGCCAGCCGCCGCCGUAACAC
rnacentral:rRNA from 1 species